rnacentral:rRNA from 1 species
CAGCCGCCGCGGUAAUACAGAGGGUGCAAGCGUUAAUCGGAAUUACUGGGCGUAAAGCGCGCGUAGGUGGUUCGCCAAGUUGGAUGUGAAAUCCCCGGGCUCAACCUGGGAACUGCAUCCAAAACUGGCGAGCUAGAGUAUGGUAGAGGGUGGUGGAAUUUCCUGUGUAGCGGUGAAAUGCGUAGAUAUAGGAAGGAACAUCAGUGGCGAAGGCGGCCAUCUGGGACAACACUGACGCUGAGGCACGAAAGCGUGGGGAGCAAACAGGAUUAGAUACCCCAGUAGUCCCUGUCUCUUAUAC